UCUACUAGCUUAACACCUAAUUUUACUUUUUCUUGCAAAGUAAGUUUAACUUAACCUUAGGUUCUCCAUCAUAUUAAGCUCCUAAUUCUAAAGCUACUUGGAGUCACAAGUUCAGUAAAUUUAUCUUCGGAAACAGCUGUUUUAUGCUCAUUCUAAAACCUAAUCGACUAGCUUAUGUUAAAGCAACUACAAAUCGAGUACAAAAACAAGCAAUUAGGUUUUAAGAAAAAAAAAUCAAGUGUGAAAUCGACUGUCGGUAAAUUCAAUUGAAGAGGCCAAAGCGCGUUUCACCACGCCGUUUUUGAGAAUCGUCCGGUAUUAGUAAAUUAACGAAUAAAGAAUUAGAAGCAAGGUUUAAAAUACAAAGAGGAAACGCAGAAUUUCAGAUCUGGUGAAGAGGAAGCAUACAGCGAGAGCGAGGUAGAAAACGAGCUUGAAGGAGAACUUGCGAAGCUCCUUGAAUAGAAGGUAGCAGAGUACAAUGAAGCUGGAACCGGCCAACGACAGGCUCGACGCUCCGGAGUUCACUGCCGUCAGAAUCUGGCGAUCGUGCGCAGUGAGAGUAGCGCCGAGUGCGACGGAGGCCGCCAUUACACGGAACCAGUUCGCUAUCGCCGAUCAGUAGUCACUCUCUUGAUUCUCAACUUCUAACUUACUGCGAAAGGAAGAGAGAAAGGAGAGAGCCGAACGGUUUUGAAAUUUAUUUUUUUUUCUGGAAAAAGAAAAUAACAGUAGUAUGAUUGUUGAUUUAUGUUUAAUUAUUGAUUUUAAUUUGCAUGUAAAUGGUUAAUGUGAGGAAAUAUUGUGAAUUAAUUAAAGAUGUGAUAAACUUAUUAUAAAAAUUAUUAACUGUUGAGUUUAAUUUUACUUCUGGUUUUUCAAAAUUAAUUUUAUGAAUUUUUUCAAAAGUGUGAAUUUAGUCAUUUGCACCAACUUAUUUUAAACUUUACUUUUUUAAGUUAUUUUUAAAAAUUAGGAUAAACACUUCAUUUAGAACCAUCAUGAUUAUUUUGUUUUUAGUAAAAAAAACUACAAUAUUAGUACAGCAAUUUCAGUGUUGUUAAUUUUAUUUGAAUUUUAAAUCCUAUUAAUAAUUAAGAUAAUUGAACAUAUCUUAGUCUAUAAUAAUUGUCACUUAUAUUUAUUUAAAAAACUAAUUUUAGUAUACAAUUAAUUAUCCGUGAAAUUUUUUACAUACUUUUUGUUUCAUAAAUUUAAAAUCUUUAAUGAUUUUUCAAGAUUAAUUAUAUACUAAUGUUAAUUUUCACUUUAAUAAAAAAAAACAUUACAAUUAGUAAUAACAACAAUCAUCUACCACCACAUAAAAAAGUAUUAUUGAAGAAAAAAAAAAUACAAGUAAAUAUAAACUCAUAUAUUAACAAAAUUGAUACAUAUAUAGCUUAUACUUAUUCAUAAAUAUCUUUAAUAAAAGACUUGAUGGAUGGAAACCUAUUAUAUCAAUAAAAUUGAUCUUUAAGAAAAAAUCUCAAGUUAGCAAGCUUAUAAGCACAAACAUUUCCUUUACGAAAAAAUAUGUGAAAAUUGAAAUCUAAUUUUGUCAUAGUAAUUAAGACAAGUGUUUCACAUAUUACGAAGCAUCCAAUAAACAUUAGUUCCAAAAGUAAAUGCAACACAAACCAACCAAGAUAGAAUCACAUUCAAAUCCUAAAACUUAAGUCAUAAAUUAGUAAGACUUAUCUUUUGAGUUUCUUCAAUAGCAUGUAUAAACCACCAAUAAAUUCCUUCAUACUCUCACGAAAAAUACUUCCACAAACAGCAAGACCAAGAGAACUCCUAACAGCCAUCAGUGUUAAUUUUAACCCAACUUUUCUAAGAUAAAAAUGUAAUAAAAGAUUAGCAAAGUGUAAUUUUCUUAUUUAUUCAAAUGUAAAUUAUGUAUACAUGUGUGAUAAUUCUUUUAAUUGCGUCAUAUUUUCUUCAUGUGCUGGAAUAUUUUAUGAACAAAAAGGAGAAAGAACAUGGUGUCAUUAUUUUUUUAAAGUUUGGGUGCUACAAUGCUUAGCAUUAAUUCAUAUCCAUUACAGUUUUGUUAUUCAUUCCAUCGUUAAGGUACAAGGAAUCAUACAUAAAAGACAAGUUUUUUUUUAUUGAAAUAUAAAAUUAAAAAUUAUUUAUAUUUUUUAAAUAUUAAAAUUGAAUUAAGAUUAUGAUUUCUUUUGAUAGAUAUUAUUUGUGCUUAUUUUAUUCGGAUCUUAUAUCAAAUAGUUAUAUGCUUCAGUUUCUCUUCAGACCCUUGUGAGAUAUUCUUUGAUUCCAUGUGGCCUGCACCACGUACUUUCAAUUGAAAGUAACUCAGAUAUUGUUUUUUAAUUUUCGUUUAAAUAUACAUUUUAGUCUAAUCUUUUAAUUUUUUUAUUAAUCGUGAUCAAUUUUAACUUUUUUAAAAGUGAUUCCUAUUUUUUUUUCAAUAACAAUAUCAUAUGUAUUCCAAAACGUCACGUCACGGUUCUUAUCUAAAUAACAAUUCUAGAUGUAUACACGUCACAUUUUCAUUGUGGUGAUGAAGACUAUUUUGAAGAUUUAAAAUAGAAAACUAAGAGAAAUAUUUUAGAAAAUUAAAACUGAAUAUUUAUAAUUAACAAAUUACCCUUUUUUACGAAUUUUCCAAUGUAAAAAAGUUGUUGAUAAUAUGAUCGUAGAAAAUAAUUUCCAUCAAUUUUUUUUAUUAAAACUCGUGGGAAAACUUUCACAGAAUUACUUCUAUAAUUUCUCAUAAAAAAAAUCUACAGAAAAUUGUAACUUUUUUGUUCUGUUAUAAUUUCAUAAUUUCAGUACUCAAAAUUGCUGAACAAAAUAAUUUUUGUUUUGAUGUAAUUAAAAUAAUUAAAAAAUUAAAAACAAAACAUACAAUAAUCAUGUGUUAAAUUUUUUUAACGCAAUAUCCAUCAAGUUCAAUCACAAAACCAAAUAAUACAAUGUCAAAUAGUUUUGAGAUAGUCAAUUUGAAGCAUUUCAACAAGUGUUCAAAAGUAAAAAAAAAAUGUUGUUGAAGAAGGGUCUGAUAUAUUUUAUUACCCAUGAACAAGAUAUAGAAAAAAAAACUAUGUUUGUAAUAUAAAAUUAUUUUUAAUGAUAUAUUGGGUCAUGUGGUUAACCAUUUAUCCAUUGACCUGGUAUUUUGACCAGAUAUUGAUUGAUCCGGUUUGAUAACACUUAUUUAUACUGGAUGAUUGAGACUUAUUUGGAGUUGAGAUUUAUUACUUUCACCAAAUCUACUUCUUAAAACAUAUUUUUGAUAAAAUUAUUUGCCAAAUUAUGUCGUAAUUGGAUAUUCUAUGACCUAAAACAAUAAGUGUAUGAAAUCCAUUUUUUGUUCAUUUUCUCUAAACUAUAACUUAACAUCCAAAACCAUGUCCAAACACAAUCCCAACCAUAUUUGUCACAUACAUUACAUGUGAAUAAAUUUUAGUGUGUAUCCUGAACUAGUAUCAAGUGCUUAUACUUGUCCAUUGUCGUGUAUAUCAUCAAACCAUAGAAAACUCAAUUAUCACUUCGAAUAGCUUGUGUUCAAUGUGAUUGCCCUUAUUUCACCCUAACCAUCAUUUUGCUGCAACUCUGUAUUUCUGGCCACAGUCAGAUGUGAUAGAACUACCUGCCACCCUUUUCAUGAUGACCAAGCCAUGCCGUCUUGUAAAAUAAAAUAACACACCUUUUUUUUUUCUUUUUACCCUUUUCUAUAUGAUAUGUAUAUUUUAUCUACUUUGCUGAGGAGCGUUAUCUGCUGCUAUAUUUUAUGUUUGUUACCAUUUUCACUUACGGCAACAUACACAAAUGGUCCAAUGAAAACAUCAUCGAAGUCCUGAAGUGGCUCCAACACCUUCACCACAUCACUCAUAGUUGGCCUUGCAUUUGGGUGAGGACUCAAGCAUUUAAAAGCCAACAUAGCAACUUUCAUGGCUCCUUUCAUGGGAAAUUGCCCUUCUAGUCUACAAUCUAUGAUGCUAUAAACUAUUUUCGGAUCUCUCAGUAAAGGCCUUGCCCAUUCCACUAAGCUCUUGCCACCAUUCGACCGAGACUUAUCCACCACUCGUCUUCCCGUAAGCAAUUCCAACAGCACCACUCCAUAGCUAUACACAUCACUCUUGGUUGUAAGAUGACCUGUGACAAGGCAAUGAGUUAUUACUUCAUCAAAUAUAAGUUUUUGUCAUUCUGGACAUAAGAAAAUAUAGCUUGUUUAGUUUAACAUUGUGAUGUUGUGAAUUUCUACGUUUAAUACUUAUAACUUUCACGUUUUCGGGCUCAAUUGAAAGUGACAACAUCAAGGGAAUUUUAGUUUCUAGUAAUAUGAAAGGCCUAAAUUCAAUUUACACUACAAAAAUUCUUAUUGAGGCUUGUAACAUGGUUUUAGGAGUAAGGAAUGAAAUAGCCUCCUUUGCCCCUUUACUUUUUGGAUGUCAAUUGAUGCUAGAAACUUGGUUAACUUUUGUAUGGUAGUGCAUAUACCUGUCAUUAUGUACUCAGGAGCAGCAUAUCCUUGUGUUCCCAUUAUGCGUGUUGUUACAUAUGUAUCUUCCCCUUCAGGGCCAUCCUUGGCUAGACCAAAGUCUGAGAGUUUAGCUGUGAAAUCCUAGAUUUAGAGGAAAAAAACGUUAAAAGAGUGUAAGUUAAUUUCUUGAUAUGGAAAUUAAGAAGAUCAUGCAAUUAAGAGAUGCAGUAUGAGAUCACAGAACAUACUGAGUCCAGUAAAAUGUUUGAAGCUUUUAAAUCGCGGUAUAUUACAGGCUUAUCUGCUUCAUGAAGGAAGGCCAGACCUUUGGCAGCUCCUAAUGCAAUUUUCAUCCUGGUUGACCAUGGCAUAGCAGCAGAGUAUCCUAUUUGUAUUAGAGCAAAAGAAGCUGUUAUUAAGGCUUGGUUUAUGUAAGAAUCCAAUUUUGUGUAUCAGUAAGAGGGAUUUUCUAUUUGUCAUCAGUAUCCAAAGAAAACACAUAGAUUUGAAACAAUUAGGUGUGCAUGACCUUACAGAACAGAACAUCUAAAAUUCUAAAUCAUUUGAUGAUAAUUAUUGAGCUUGAUCUUGCAAUCAUGUUUGACUUAUGAGAUACUUCUGAUAUAACCAGAAAUGCACAAAAACAAAAAGAUGAGAAUAAGCGAGAAAAGAAACAUACUUCUGAAGAGUUGAUUCUCCAAGCUGCCUCUUGGCAUGUAUUCAUACAUCAAAAGCCUGUUUUCAUCUUCAUAACAGUACCCUAUUAACUUUACAAGAUGUGGAUGCCUUAGUUGUCCAAGAAAUAUAAUCUCUGCCUAGAAAAGAAAUUGUGAUCAAAACAACAGUUUAUUCAGAUACUAGCUCAUAUGAGUAUUUGUUCACGAGUGCAGUAUUUUUGUUGUCAAGGAAACAAAUAUGUCGGCAUCUAAAAUUGACGUGACAACCAAAAAAUGGGGUAGUCAUGAAAAGUUAAAAAUGGCAUUUGAGAAAGCUAACUAACCAGCCACUCCCUGUGACCUUGCAAGCCAUCCAAGUCCAACCUUUUCACAGCAACAGUCUGAGCUUUCAAACCUGGCCUAAGUUUGUCAUCCACAAAACCCUUGUACACAGGUCCAAACCCUCCUUCUCCUAGCAUAUUACUCCAUGAGAAACUGCUCGUUGCUUCCCUUAGCUCCUCAAGUGUGAAUGCAUAAAGUUUGGAGCCACCAAAGGAAAUUGAAAGAUCCUCAAUGGCCUGAGUGGAGCUUGAAUUGCUCACAUCAGAUAGACACAGCCUCUGGAAAGACCCUUGUUUCAAAACCUGUUUCUCUGAUUCCUCCAAGGAGCACUUAACCUUGUAACAACUUAAGAUCAAGAUCACAGACUUCCAUGUGUUCCUUUUAGUACCCAUCUAGGAAAUUGGUCUAUAUGUGAAACUGCAACAACCCUGUUGUGUAACUUUCUUUCACAAGCUACUUCUGAUUCUAAAAAUAUGAGGAAGACGACAUAAAAUUUGGAAUAAUUGAUGAUGCUAGGAAAAAAAUAAGUGAAAGUUGAGGAAGUUUAUAAGUACAACUUCACCUACCACCUCAGAAGAAAAAUUGUGGGAGAUUCCUUGACUUCUAGAACUCAUGAAUGUGGAUGCUAGAACAAUAUUACACGAUAUACAUGAAGGAUUUCUAUUUUAUUUUAGGUCAAUCAACAUGCCUACCUAUUAUUGACUUCAAUGUUACACUAAUAUAUUUUUCAUAAACACUUAUAAAAAAUAAGGAACAAAUAUAUCUAUAAAUUAAAAUUUGUAAAGCUAAUUUAAUUUUAUGAAAAAAGUGAAAUUUAAUUUGUUUCUCCAAAUUACGGAACGACUCCAUCAAACAUGAGUGCCGUCCACAUAUUUUUGUGUUUGGCAAGUGAUGUACAUUCGCCGAGAAGAUCGGAAAAAUGAAGGGAUGUAACAAAAUUCCAUUAGUGCCAAACCAAAAAUUCCAUUCUAAUUUGUAGUUGCACACAUCAAAAGGUUUUUUUAAUCGUUCAUUUGGUUGUGUUGAGGACACGUGAAUUAUUAUAACAAAAAUAAAAGUGCUAUGUGGAUUUUGAGAGUAUUUUAUGGUUUAAUUUGAUAUGUUCCUAUAUUUGGUAGGUAAGUUUCUCUACGUUGUUGUUGUUGUAGUUAGAAUGUCAUGAUCAUACAAUAGCGACCCGACAAUGAAACUCUUCUUUUAAAUUCUUUAUAUGAUCAUCAAGGGCAGCUUCUAGAACCUACAACUUAAGGGUUUCCUCUAAGACUGAGUGUUUUUUUGAGAAGUUUAUCCAAACAGUGUCAUAUCUCUACUAGCUUAACUUUUACUUUUUCUUGCAAAGUAAGUUUAACUUAAACUUAGGUUCUCCAUCAUAUUAAGCUCCUAAUUCUAAAGCUACUUGAAGUCACAAGUUCAGUAAAUUUAUCUUCGGAAACAGUUAUUUUAAGCUCAUUCCUUCUAAAACCUAAUCGACUAAUCACGCCUUUGAAAAGAAGCAACUAAAAAUCGAGUACAAAAACAAGCAAUUAGGUUUUAAGAAAAAAAAUCAGGGGCGAAAUCGAGUAUCGGUAAAUUCAAUUGAAGAGGCCAAAGCGCGCUUCACCACGCCGUUUUUGCGAAUCGUCCGGUAUUAGUAUACUCACGAAUAAAGAAUUAGAAGCAAGGUUUAAAAUACAGAGAGGAAACGCAGGACUUUAGAUCUGGUGAAGAGGAAGCAUACAGAGAGAGCAAGGUAGAAAACGAGUUUGAAGGAGAACUUGCGAAGCUCCUUGAAUAGAAGGUAGCAGAGUACAAUGAAGCUGGAACCGGCCAACGAAAGGCUCGACGCUCCGGCGUUCACCGCCGUCAGAAUCCGGCAAUCGUGCGCAGUGAGAGUUCUGCCGUGUGCGACGG
rnacentral:lncRNA from 1 species